rnacentral:rRNA from 1 species
AACGAACGCUGGCGGCAGGCCUAACACAUGCAAGUCGAACGGGUGUCUUCGGACACUAGUGGCGGACGGGUGAGUAACGCGUGGGAACGUGCCCUUUGGUUCGGAAUAGCCCUGGGAAACUGGGAGUAAUACCGGAUGUGCCCUUCGGGGGAAAGAUUUAUCGCCAAAGGAUCGGCCCGCGUUGGAUUAGGUAGUUGGUGGGGUAAUGGCCUACCAAGCCGACGAUCCAUAGCUGGUUUGAGAGGAUGAUCAGCCACACUGGGACUGAGACACGGCCCAGACUCCUACGGGAGGCUG